rnacentral:misc_RNA from 1 species
GAUGAAGAACGCAGCGAAAUGCGAUAAGUAAUGUGAAUUGCAGAAUUCCGUGAAUCAUCGAAUCUUUGAACGCAUAUUGCGCCCUCUGGUAUUCCGGAGGGCAUGCCUGUCCGAGCGUCAUUACUAUCUUCAAGCACAGCUUGGUUGUUGAGCCCAAUUGUUUUUUCCCAAAACAGGCUUGAAAUGCAGCGGCGAUGCCAUGUUUGGUGCCCGAGUGUAUGGGGCUUUGUCACACACUUUUGUGGCCCAGCUGGCGUCUGCCUCAAGCAGCUGACACACCUCAAAGGAGUCAACUAAGAUUUGACCUCGGAUCAGGUAGGGAUACCCGCUGAACUUAAGCAUAUCAAUAAGAGGAGGA